rnacentral:sRNA from 1 species
CGGGCACGCGCCGCUGGGAGGGCGGGGUGGGUGGCUGGAGGUGCUGGAGAAUCUGGUAAAAGCACCAUUGUGAAGCAGAUGAGGAUCCUGCAUGUUAAUGGGUUUAAUGGAGACAGUGAGAAGGCAACCAAAGUGCAGGACAUCAAAAACAACCUGAAAGAGGCGAUUGAAACCAUUGUGGCCGCCAUGAGCAACCUGGUGCCCCCCGUGGAGCUGGCCAACCCCGAGAACCAGUUCAGAGUGGACUACAUUCUGAGUGUGAUGAACGUGCCUGACUUUGACUUCCCUCCCGAAUUCUAUGAGCACGCCAAGGCUCUGUGGGAGGAUGAAGGAGUGCGUGCCUGCUACGAACGCUCCAACGAGUACCAGCUGAUUGACUGUGCCCAGUACUUCCUGGACAAGAUCGAUGUGAUCAAGCAGGCUGACUAUGUGCCGAGCGAUCAGGACCUGCUUCGCUGCCGCGUCCUGACUUCUGGAAUCUUUGAGACCAAGUUCCAGGUGGACAAAGUCAACUUCCACAUGUUUGACGUGGGUGGCCAGCGCGACGAACGCCGCAAGUGGAUCCAGUGCUUCAACGAUGUGACUGCCAUCAUCUUCGUGGUGGCCAGCAGCAGCUACAACAUGGUCAUCCGGGAGGACAACCAGACCAACCGCCUGCAGGAGGCUCUGAACCUCUUCAAGAGCAUCUGGAACAACAGAUGGCUGCGCACCAUCUCUGUGAUUCUGUUCCUCAACAAGCAAGAUCUGCUCGCUGAGAAAGUCCUUGCUGGGAAAUCGAAGAUUGAGGACUACUUUCCAGAAUUUGCUCGCUACACUACUCCUGAGGAUGCUACUCCCGAGCCCGGAGAGGACCCACGCGUGACCCGGGCCAAGUACUUCAUUCGAGAUGAGUUUCUG